CUCAGUUGAUGAAUGUUACUUUAUGGACUUCUCAAGUACUCUUUAUUUAUUGAAGAGCAAGAAUAACCAUCGAGUUAUUGGACUUUGAGCUAAGAUGAAUGUUUAAAUCCUGAGGACUAGGCGCUAAAUAACAGCUGACGCAGGUGCUACGCAGAAGUGGAUUCAGUGAAGCUAGGAAGACAGGAGCGGCAGACAGGAUUCGGAGCCAGUGUUGGUGAAAACUAGGACUGAGGAGCCAGCGGCAGUUCGUGAAGAUAGGAAAGAGAAGCCCGGGAGCCAGUGCGACUUGGUGAAGGAAGCUAGGAAGAAGGAGCGAGUCCUAACGAUUUGGAGGUGAAGCUAGGAGAGGAUUCCAGGAAGGAGGAAGCCAGUGCGGUGUGGUGAAGCUAGCGUGCGGCUUGGCUUGGCAACCACGCGGAGGCGGCGAGCAGGCGGAGUGGAGGAUAGAUAGAGGAUCCUAGAGCAGCAGACCAGUGUACGAGCCCCGCAGGGAGAGCCAGUGGUGUGGUAAAAAUCCGUGAAGUCGGCACUAUCGUGGGUUUUUUUUCCUCCUGUAACUCAGUAUGGUGAUUUAAUAAAACUUAAUACUACUAUAGGAGCUUCAGAGCAAAGGAGGUGGCUUAAUGAUCCUGAAGGGAUUUCUUCUGGUGGUAGCUUUUGUAUUAUCAAGUUUUUCUUCAUUAUCAGAAGAGUUGCUUCAUUUCAUCUGGGAGCAGAAAACAGCAGGCAGCUGUUAACAGAUAAGUUUAACUUGCAUCUGCAGUAUUGCAUGUUAGGAAUAAGUGCUUACCUUUGUGAAGAGCUGUGGAAGUCCUAGGUCCCUUACCUAAGGGAUUCCAGGAUUGUGAGGCAUCGUCCCAUCCAGCCUUUUAAAAUUAGACAGGACAGCGUUCCUGUGGGCUUUGAUGAUGGGACAGCACAUUUCAUUCAAGAGGCAAGUAAUUCCUUAAAGCCUCUUGAGAUUAGCAAAGAUAAUGUUUAUAAAACUAAGAACAUUUGUUUAGCCUUGAAUCUGACAGCCCUAUUUAAGGGAUAGUAUUGUACUGUUAAGAAUUCAGAUUUUGUUAAUCUUGCUAAAAUUCAAAUGUUACGUGUAUUGUGCAGAAAACCAUUAAAUCAUUCAAAAUAAAAUACUUUUAUUUUUAGAGAAUGUAUGCUUU
rnacentral:lncRNA from 1 species